GAUCUGGAGUUUUCUGCCAUCUGUCUCCAGCAGAGAGCGCCCUGGGUCUCCUGAGCAGGAGCUUCAGGCACACCUGAAGAUCAUCAGCCGAUCAGGAGACCAGCUACUUAAGCAGCAGCCAGAUGUGUCUUCAGCGCCAGAGUGUUGCCAAGUUAUGACCUGUCCGCCUGCCCUCACGAGCCAAACCUGAAGACUCACUUCUGGAUCUGUAUUCCGUUCUCAGGAGAGAACCCUGGCAAACCCUCAAGGUCUGUGAAACAAACUCUAGUCUGAAGACAAACACUGCUGCUAUCAAGCCUCUGCUGGAUCCACAAGCUCUGGACCCAAUUGGUUCCCCCUCUCGUCGAAUCAGUCUGAAUACCUCCAGAGAACCCUCAAGAAGUCUGUCCCGGGCUUAUACCAGAACCGUGUUUAUAUGUUUGUGCAACUCUGAAUAAACCUUUGAACUUUUUACCCCUGUGUUCGUGGUGUGUUCUGCAUGUGGGUU